rnacentral:rRNA from 1 species
GUAGGUGGCAAGCGUUGUCCGGAAUUAUUGGGCGUAAAGCGCGCGCAGGCGGUUCUUUAAGUCUGAUGUGAAAGCCCACGGGCUCAACCGUGGAGGGUCAUUGGAAACUGGAGAACUUGAGUACAGAAGAGGAAAGCGGAAUUCCACGUGUAGCGGUGAAAUGCGUAGAGAUGUGGAGGAACACCAGUGGCGAAGGCGGCUUUCUGGUCUGUAACAGACGCUGAGGCGCGAAAGCGUGGGGAGCAAACAGGAUUAGAUACCCUGGUAGUCCACGCCGUAAACGAUGAGUGCUAAGUGUUAGGGGGUUUCCGCCCCUUAGUGCUGCAGCUAACGCAUUAAGCACUCCGCCUGGGGAGUACGGCCGCAAGGCUG